UUAUGGCCACAGCAUGUUGAAACACCAGUUGCUGCAUGAUCACUGAAGUUAAGCAAUGUUAAGCCUGGUCAGUACCAAGAUUAGUGACCACUUGGGAAUACCAGGUAUUGUAAG